AUGAUGGAAAGGGACAAGCGGCAUUGUAACUUUAGUACACGUUUAUAAAUAAAGGGGUUUGUCUUUAAGACUGCAACUAAACCAUAGAUUAGUAUAUAUUAUUACUGAACUAAACAGCAAAUAGUUGCCACUUUUUAGGGUUCCGUAGCCAAAUGUUAAAUAACCGGCCAAGAGCAUGUCGGGCCACGCUCAGUGUAGGGUUCCGUAGUUACUCUUCCGUCACAAUAAGCUAAACUGGAGCUUAAAGUAUAGUAAAUUGUUAAUCAAGGGAUGAAACGGUACCUUUCACCCGAGUUAAACAAAUAGGCAAAUUUGCAUAAUCAGUACCUAAUUAAAGUAAGUCUUUUUACUAUGAAGGGAAAACUUUUUGCGAUAACUCAAAAACAGCUAAACUGAUCAUGUCCGCUAUAGUUUUCAUUUAAUGUCUUUCUUAAGCUCUACUUCCACGAUUUUUUUCAUAUUUUUUGGACCUAUGGUUCUAAAGUUAGAGGGGGGGGGACACAUUUUUUUUUUCUUUCGGAGCGAUUAUCUCCGAAUAUAUUCACUAUAUCAAAAAAUGUUUCUUGAAAACCCCUAUUAGUUUUGAAAGACCUUUCCAACGAUACCCCACACUCUAGGGUUGAAGCGAAAAAAAAAAAUUCACCCCCACUUUACGUGUAGGGGAGGUACCCUAAAAAAAAUUAAAUUCUUAGAUUUUAUUGUACGACUUUUUUGGCUUUAUUGAUUUAUAUAUCCAUGCCAAAUUUCAGCUUUCUAGCACUAACGACCACGGAGCAAAGCCUCGGACAGACAGACAGACAGACAGACAGACAGACAGACAGACAGACGGACAUGGCGAAACUAUAAGGGUUCCGUUUUAUGCCAUUUGGCUACGGAACCCUAAAAACGGAACCCUUAUGGAUUCGUCUUGUCCGUCUGUCUGUCCGUUUAUGUCACAGUCACUUUUUUCCGAAACUAUAAGAACUAUACUGUUGAAACUUGGUGAGUAGAUGGAUUCUGUGAACCGCAUUAAGAUUUUCACACAAAAAUUUUGGAGGUUCCCCAUACUUAGAACUGAAACUCAAUUUUUUUUUUCAUUAAACCCAUACUUGUGGGGUAUAUAUGAAUAGGUCUUCAAAAAUUAUAUUGCGGUUUCUAUUUUUUUUUUUUUCAAUUUUUUUUAAUACAUCAUAAAUGGUCCGGAACCUUUCAUGAGCGAGUCCGACUCGCACUUGGCCGCUUUUUUUUUUUUAAAUACUAAUUUAUACAGAAAUUUAUUAGUUUAGUAGAAAAUACAAUUCCCCCGAUGAGGGCGCCACUGGACGGUCGAUGCAGUCUUGAUUAUAAGUCUAAGUAUGUAUAAAUAUUUUGGUAAUUAUAAAUAUGUAUUGCCAGAUACACCGAUUUUCACCAAGUCCCGGUACGGUAACCCGGUGAUCCUGAUCGGGCCGUACCGGUACAACAAGUGGUCGGGCGGGAAAGGCCCGCGCGCGCGCUGGCGGUGCGUCAAGACCGGUAACGGGUGUAAGGCCAUCGUUUACACCGUCGACGAUGUCAUCAUCGAGUUCUGUCAUCAACACAAUCAUUUAUAAGUCGGGUUAUAAGUCUGUUCAUAACAACAAAUUGGCGAGCGUGAAAUGCCUCAUGACAAGACUUAACGAUCUCGUAAAUCCACCCAUAUAAAUGACAUAAAACAUGGCAUCAAUAUGGCUAUUUUUUUCAUAAAUGUCAUAUAGGGAUCAAUGUUGUUUGCAAUAUAUGAUUUUAUUUAUUAUUUUAUUUUAUUUAUUGAGAUAUACAAAAACUUCAAUUCGCUAUAAUUUCUAUGUAUUACAAUGUUUAGUAACGAAAACUAGUCAAAAGCAUUUAUUUGUCCAACAUAGGUAUACAUAUAUACAUCAGUACAGGUGACAUAUACAUCAUCAUCGUAUCACUAUGUUGUGCCAUAAGGGCUCCUCUACACGAUGGCCCAUCGUACGCCAGUCUAAGGGACGCGACUUUUCAGUGGAAUGAGGUAGCAAUAUCACUUGCUCCCUCUAACGCAUAAAUGCGUCCCUUGGACUGGCCAGGGCCGGGCCAUCAUGUAGAGGAGCCAUAAGGCGUACAAUUUUCAUUUAUGGACUCUGACUAGCAUAUGCUACUUGAGUAUGCAUUUUAUAUUCGAUCAAAAUAAUGCUCCUUUUAAUUAUAUUUUGAGAUCAUUCGUCCACUCGGUUAUUAAUUAGCACGGGGGGUUAAACAACAACUUUGCCUCUUGUAGUUACAAGAGGCAAACUCUAAUACUCUAAUUUAACAGGUAACAAAAACUACAAUGGGAAGUUUUCAUUUUUGUCAUCAAAUAAAGUUAUACUUUUGCCAAAGUAUGUUUUUUGGUCUCGUAUUAUUAUAAGUACCUGAUUGUUGUACAUCCUAUCGUUCGAAAUAAAACAGACCAGAUGUCAAAAUUUGUGUUUUAAUUUUUUUCAUCAUUUUUAUUUCACCUCAAGUAAUGAUUAAUGGCCCACAUUAUUCAAACCAAUACACAAUUUUUAUUUACAGCUCAAGCCAAAGUUGGAAGGCCGAAAAAAUUGAACCCUCCGCAGGCAGACGUAAACAAUAUCAAUAUAAGUAUAGCAGCUUUGCAGCAGCAGCUUAAUGUAAACACCGUAAUAAUGACGACCGUGUUAAAUAACAUAAUCAAAGAUUUUAAAAUAAUGCCAGAAAAAAACUUGGGAGAGCUGUCAGGAAGUGUACCCGAUGAAGAUGUUUUGGACAAGUCUCCCUUUCCAUUGAAUGACAUCACAAGUUUACAAGAUUUGGAUCGAGAAUUAAGCCAAAAAUAUUACUUUACGCGCAUGGUAAAGCAUUUCAGUUCUUUUGUUGGGACUGAUGGUCAAGGGAGAGGAGAAAUUCUUGGAAAAAAAAUGGCGGAGCAAAUUAUGACCCGGCAUUUAAUGACAAAAAUGUCUUGGACCGGAUUAUCUAGAACGGCAGAAUUCAAAAAAAAGUUUGCCUUUAAAACUUUAGAAAAUGUAGUAAAGCUCUUUUAUAAAGUAUUGCUUAAAGCAGAUUCCAGAUGGACUUAUGAGAAGAAUAAAAAACUAUUUAGUGGUGCUUUAUUGAAACACGCAAAAAAGAGAGCAAUGGCGGAAAAGAAAAAACUAGCCUGCGCCAAUGACAAUUCAAAGCAAGCAGAUAAAAAUACUGCUGCACCAUAGGAAAUACCAGCUUCAGAACCACGAUAAUCUUCCGUUGGUGAAGACGUUAUAAAUUGAAAUAAAUCAGGGUGAAAAGUUAGCAAGGAGUAAGGGCAGCCACAUUGUGGCAGCAAGGGUUACGCUCAAAAUGCGCUGAGGACACAUUAACAUAUUUUUUUAAAGAUGACAACUAUUACAAAAUAUUCAGUUAACGAGAAAAUCGCCAGUUUGAGGAUUAUUUUAAAUGCUUAUCAAUCCCAUUUCUAUCAUGGGUUAAAAUAUUAUUUGAGACCAACUACUAAAAUAAAAUAAAAA